rnacentral:rRNA from 1 species
CGCUGGCGGAAUGCUUUACACAUGCAAGUCGAGCGGCAGCGCGGGGGCAACCCUGGCGGCGAGCGGCGAACGGGUGAGUAAUACAUCGGAACGUGUCCUGGAGUGGGGGAUAGCUCGGCGAAAGCCGGAUUAAUACCGCAUAAGCUCUGAGGAGGAAAGCGGGGGAUUCGCAAGGACCUCGCGCUGUUGGAGCGGCCGAUGUCGGAUUAGCUAGUUGGUGGGGUAAAGGCCCACCAAGGCGACGAUCCGUAGCUGGUCUGAGAGGAUGAUCAGCCACACUGGAACUGAGACACGGUCCAGACUCCUACGGGAGGCAGCAGUGGGGAAUUUUGGACAAUGGGGGCAACCCUGAUCCAGCCAUUCCGCGUGAGUGAAGAAGGCCUUCGGGUUGUAAAGCACUUUCGGCCGGAACGAAAUCGCUUUCGUUAAUAGCGGGAGUGGAUGACGGUACCGGAAGAAGAAGCACCGGCUAACUACGUGCCAGCAGCCGCGGUAAUACGUAGGGUGCGAGCGUUAAUCGGAAUUACUGGGCGUAAAGGGUGCGCAGGCGGCGUCGCAAGUCAGGCGUGAAAUCCCCGGGCUUAACCUGGGAACUGCACUUGUAACUACGAUGCUGGAGUAUGGCAGAGGGAGGUGGAAUUCCACGUGUAGCGGUGAAAUGCGUAGAGAUGUGGAGGAACACCGAUGGCGAAGGCAGCCUCCUGGGCCAAUACUGACGCUCAUGCACGAAAGCGUGGGGAGCAAA